rnacentral:rRNA from 1 species
CCUACGGGAGGCAGCAGUGAGGAAUAUUGGUCAAUGGACGCGAGUCUGAACCAGCCAAGCCGCGUGCGGGAAGAAGGUUCUAUGAAUUGUAAACUGCUUUUGUACGGGAACAAACGCAGAUACGCGUAUCUGUCUGAAAGUAUCUGAAGAAUAAGGAUCGGCUAACUCCGUGCCAGCAGCCGCGGUAAUACGGAGGAUUCGAGCGUUAUCCGGAUUUAUUGGGUUUAAAGGGUGCGUAGGCGGUCGGUUAAGUUAGAGGUGAAAACCCGGGGCUCAACCUCGGACUUGCCUUUGAUACUGUUCGGCUAGAGAGUAGUGGCGGUAGGCGGAAUGUAUGGUGUAGCGGUGAAAUGCUUAGAGAUCAUACAGAACACCGAUUGCGAAGGCAGCAUACCAAGUU